rnacentral:rRNA from 1 species
GACGAACGCUGGCGGCGUGCUUAACACAUGCAAGUCGAACGGAAAGGCCCUGCUUUUGUGGGGUUCUCGAUUGGCGAACGGGUGAGUAACACGUGAGUAACCUGCCCUUGACUUUGGGAUAACUUCAGGAAACUGGGGCUAAUACCGGAUAGGAGCUCCUGCUGCAUGGUGGGGGUUGGAAAGUGUCGGCGGUUUGGGAUGGAAUCGCGGCUUAUCAGCUUGUUUGUGGGGUAGUGGCUUACCAAGGCUUUGACGGGUAGCCGGCAUGAGAGCGUGACCGGCGACAUUGGGACUGAGAUACGGACCAGAAGCCUACGGGCGGCAGCAGUGGGGAGUAUUGCAGAGCGGGCGGAAGCCUGAUGAAGAAACGCCGGGUGCGGGAUGCCGGCUUUCGGGUUGUAAACAGAUUUCGAAUGUGACGAGGAGUGCGUGACGGUAAUGGGUCAAGAAGCACCGGCUAACUACGUG